AUUGAACGCUGGCGACAGGCCUAACACAUGCAAGUCGAGCGAGCGGCGGACGGGUGAGUAAUGUCUGGGAAACUGCCUGCUGGAGGGGGAUAACUACUGGAAACGGUAGCUAAUACCGCCUACCAUCUGAUGUGCCCAUAUGGGAUUAGCUAGUAGGUGGGGUAAUGGCUCACCUAGGCGACGAUCCCUAGCUGGUCUGAGAGGAUGACCAGCCACACUGGGACUGAGACAAGGUCCAGACGCCUACGGGAGGCAGCAGUGGGGAAUAUUGCACAAUGGGCGCAAGCCUGAUGCAGCCAUGCCGCGUGUGUGAAGAAGGCCUUAGGGUUGUAAAGCACUUUCAGCGGGGAGGCGUUACCGACAGAAGAAGCACCGGCUAACUCCGUGCCAGCAGCCGCGGUAAUUC
rnacentral:rRNA from 1 species